rnacentral:rRNA from 1 species
GACAGAGGAGCCAAGCGUUGUCCGGAUUGACUGGGCGUAAAGCGCACGCAGGCGGCCGUGCACGUGGGGUGUGAAAGCUGGCGGCUUAACUGCCAGACGCCACCUCAUACGGCACGGCUCGAGCCCGUGAGAGGUCCACGGAAUUGCCGGUGUAGUGGUGAAAUGCGUAGAGAUCGGCAGGAACACCCAGGGGGAAACCAGUGGACUGGCACGGUGCUGACGCUCAGGUGCGAAAGCGUGGGGAGCGAGCCGG